GCUACACAUGCAGUCGACGAUGAUCAGGAGCUUGCUCCUGUGAUUAGUGGCGAACGGGUGAGUAACACGUGAGUAACCUGCCCCUGACUCUGGGAUAAGCGUUGGAAACGACGUCUAAUACUGGAUACGACUGCCGGCCGCAUGGUCUGGUGGUGGAAAGAUUUUUUGGUUGGGGAUGGACUCGCGGCCUAUCAGCUUGUUGGUGAGGUAAUGGCUCACCAAGGCGACGACGGGUAGCCGGCCUGAGAGGGUGACCGGCCACACUGGGACUGAGACACGGCCCAGACUCCUACGGGAGGCAGCAGUGGGGAAUAUUGCACAAUGGGCGAAAGCCUGAUGCAGCAACGCCGCGUGAGGGAUGACGGCCUUCGGGUUGUAAACCUCUUUUAGUAGGGAAGAAGCGAAAGUGACGGUACCUGCAGAAAAAGCACCGGCUAACUACGUGCCAGCAGCCGCGGUAAUACGUAGGGUGCAAGCGUUGUCCGGAAUUAUUGGGCGUAAAGAGCUCGUAGGCGGUUUGUCGCGUCUGCUGUGAAAUCCCGAGGCUCAACCUCGGGCUUGCAGUGGGUACGGGCAGACUAGAGUGCGGUAGGGGAGAUUGGAAUUCCUGGUGUAGCGGUGGAAUGCGCAGAUAUCAGGAGGAACACCGAUGGCGAAGGCAGAUCUCUGGGCCGUAACUGACGCUGAGGAGCGAAAGCGUGGGGAGCGAACAGGAUUAGAUACCCUGGUAGUCCACGCCGUAAACGUUGGGCGCUAGAUGUAGGGACCUUUCCACGGUUUCUGUGUCGUAGCUAACGCAUUAAGCGCCCCGCCUGGGGGAGUACGGCCGCAAGGCUAAAACUCAAAGGAAUUGACGGGGGCCCGCACAAGCGGCGGAGCAUGCGGAUUAAUUCGAUGCAACGCGAAGAACCUUACCAAGGCUUGACAUACACCGGAAACGGCCAGAGAUGGUCGCCCCCUUGUGGUCGGUGUACAGGUGGUGCAUGGUUGUCGUCAGCUCGUGUCGUGAGAUGUUUGGGUUAAGUCCCGCAACGAGCGCAACCCUCGUUCUAUGUUGCCAGCGCGUUAUGGCGGGGACUCAUAGGAGACUGCCGGGGUCACUCCGAGGAAA
rnacentral:rRNA from 1 species